rnacentral:rRNA from 1 species
GCUGNAGCACGUAGGUGGGUUUGUAAGUCAGAUGUGAAAGCCUUCUGUUCAACGGAAGAAUUGCAUCUGAAACUACAAGUCUUGAGUGUAGGAGGGGAGAAUGGAACUUCUGGUGGAGCGGUGAAAUCCGUAGAUAUCAGAAGGAACGCCGGCGGCGAAAGCGAUUCUCUGGCCUAUUACUGACACUCAGUGUGCGAAAGCUAGGGGAGCAAACGGGAUUAGAUACCCCGGUAGUCCUAGCCGUAAACGAUGGGCACUAAGUAGUGGGAAUUACCGAUGUUCUCUCUGCCGUAGCUAACGCAUUAAGUGCCCCGCCUGGGGAGUACGGCCGCAAGGCUAAAACUCAAAAGAAUUGACGGGGGCUCGCACAAGCGGUGGAGCAUGUGGCUUAAUUCGAUGCAACGCGAAAAACCUUACCGGGGCUUGACAUGUUAGAAGUAGGAACCUGAAAGGGUAACGAACGGUAUCCAGUCCGUAGCUAUCACAGGUGUUGCAUGGCUGUCGUCAGCUCGUGUCGUGAGACGUUGGGUUAAGUCCCCUAACGAGCGAAACCCUUGUUUUUAGUUACCAGCGGGUUAUGCCGGGUACUCUAGAAAGACUGCCGUCGUCAAGACGGAGGAAGGUGGGGAUGACGUCAAGUCAUCAUGGCCCUUAUGCCCCGGGCUGCACACGUGCUACAAUGGUCGGUACAAACGGAAGCGAAGCCGAGAGGUGAAGCGAAUCCAAGC